CUCAGCACGCCCAGCAUGUGCAGGGGCACAGCCCUUGUCCCCAGCUGCAUUACAAUUACAGCUGCUGUGGUAAUUCGGAGUGCACGUGCAUGUACCCACCUGGUGCAUGGAGGCAGGAGUGUUGGGAGGACCAAGACGUUUUGUGGAGGCCAGUGGAUGCUUGGGCAUUUCCUGGUGUAUCCUGCUCAUCUGACUAGUAGGCUGUAUUCUUUGACCCCUCUCUCCAAAGACAGUCUCCAGGUAGCAGAUGAGGUGGUUGUGCUUCUUCUACUCUGUAACCUGUCCUACGGGGAUGCUGAGAAGCCAAGUGUACACCACGUUAAAAAUUGCAGCACAUCAAACUUAUUCAUACAGAGCAAAACAAGGGGAAAAUUAAAAAUAUCUAUUUACCACUAGUGUUGUUCAAAAUCAAUAUUUGCUGUAUGAAAUAUGAUGUAAGAGCAGUGAAGAUGGGAGUGGUAUAAUGGACAAGAAGAUCUCCAAAGGUUAUACUUCAGCUGCUACAGCAGUGUGCAAAGGAAGAAGAGUUUAAGCAAAAGCUGAAGAUAAGCCUGAUCAGAGAUUUGAGCUGUUUUCCACAAUAUGGGUUUGCAAUGGGCUUAUUUGUGUAUUGUUGGGUGAAUGAUGAAGUGGGAUAAAGUCCUCAGAGUCUCCUUCCAGUACCUUCCCUGGAGAGAAGGAGAAUUGCCCAACUUAGAUGCAUAUCAUGUGAAAACCUGUCUUUCUAGACUGGUGUGUGGAGUCAUUCAUUACUAUUUUCACAGUGCUCAGGAAAAAGACCUUUAAAAACUUUUCUUUCCUAAGCCACGCUAGGACAGCACUGAGGUUGCUGUGUCUCAGAAGAUUGUAGUGACUUUCUCAUUUGCAUUUCCAGCUCUGUCCCUAUGUUGCUGAGAUACAUUUGUAAUGGCCUUACCUGAAUUCAGCAAUUUAGAAGGCAGCUAUUACCUUAUUCAUUAAAUAAAAAGGGAAGAAAUUAAAAGCAAAAUCAGUUACUCUUUGAUCAGUCAAAAUUGCUUCCCUGUAGUGGUAUUCAAAUUGUAUUUCUAAACAUGAAAAAGUUGGUGCAAUGCAGAAGUUUCUGGGGUUUUAAGCAUACAAUUUUUUAAAUAAAGUUUUGCACUUAAUUAAAUGUAGUUUCUUUUUUGGGGUAAUUAACUUAGAAACUGCUAGGGGCUUUGCAGCCAUGGGAAACCCUAUCCUAAAGCUCAUUUUAGCAUAAACAGCUGUAGAACAAGUCUUACCUUCUUAGCUAGCUAUCUCAAAUAUUGUCUAGGGGGCUGCUUUUCCUGCCUUGACUGCAAGGGCACUGCUCCAGAGAGAGUACCAAUCAUGCUAAAAUGUGUAAAAUGAUCAUUUAAGCCAAAAUAAUGACAUAACCUUCUAAGCAGUGUAUAAUCCUAAUAAGAUUAAGCUUUACCAAAGAAAAACAUAAAAUAUAUAACUUAAUAAAAGCAUAAUCUAUUCUGAAUAAACUGUAUUAUACAUGUUUGCUGAAUGGAUUAUAUAAAUUUAAUGCAAUUACACUGUCUUAUAAGCAGGAUACAAUAAGUAGUAAUGGCAGCUUUUCUAUACACAAUAUAAGAGAGCAAGGAAGAAGAUGGGGAUUAUUAGAAAAUGAGUUUAGUCAAAACAAUUAAAAAGAUAAAGAUAAAAAUAGAAUAAUAAUUUCUUAAGUACUGCAACAAUGAGCUUCAUGCUUCUUUGAGUGUAUUAGCCAAGAUCAAAGUAAGAUAUAUGAACAUGUAAGAAGACUGACAUGGUGUUGGAGAGGAAUGACACAGCUGAUACAAUUGCAAAAGAUUUGAGAAAAUGUAGUACUUUCUCAGCAUCUGUUCAAAUUUUUAUUCAUAUUUCUUUAGUACAUUGUACAUUUGUCCAUUCCAUGUCUUCAUUUGAUAUGUGGCUGUGGAUUCCAGGCUGUUAGCACUUCUGAGCCAGAUGGCAUACACUCUGUCAUGCUGAGAUCAUGUUAGAAAUGUCAUCUAUGCAACUCAGCUGAGGUAGAGUAGCACUUUAAAAUGAAUUCCUCAGUUGUCCACUAUGGAUUUUUUUUUUUUUUUUUUUUUUCUGAGGAUAUUGCACCCAUGUAAAAAGAUUAAAACACAUCUUGUAUGCAUAAUUUUAAAAGGCAUCUCUUGUCAUGGAAACACAAGAUCUUGUUAUCUUACACAGUUUGGUCCCCAUUCCACACCUUCAUAAUAGGUGCUUAAGCACUAGGAAUUGAACACUGUAGUUAGUACCUGUAAAAACUAGACCCAGGAGUCAAACAAUUUUUUCUUUCAUGCAUAUUAAUUUCCUAGUAGAUUUUAUUCUUUCAUAUAUCUAUAUAAUCUCAGUGGUUUAA